rnacentral:rRNA from 1 species
GACGAACGCUGGCGGCGUGCUUAACACAUGCAAGUCGAACGGUAAGGCCCUUCGGGGUACACGAGUGGCGAACGGGUGAGUAACACGUGGGUGAUCUGCCCUGCACUUCGGGAUAAGCCUGGGAAACUGGGUCUAAUACCGGAUAGGACUCCGGACUGCAUGGUCUGGGGUGGAAAGCUUUUGCGGUGUGGGAUGGGCCCGCGGCCUAUCAGCUGGUUGGUGGGGUGAUGGCCUACCAAGGCGACGACGGGUAGCCGGCCUGAGAGGGUGACCGGCCACACUGGGACUGAGAUACGGCCCAGACUCCUACGGGAGGCAGCAGUGGGGAAUAUUGCACAAUGGGCGCAAGCCUGAUGCAGCGACGCCGCGUGAGGGAUGACGGCCUUCGGGUUGUAAACCUCUUUCAGCAUCGACGAAGCAAAAGUGACGGUAGGUGCAGAAGAAGGACCGGCCAACUACGUGCCAGCAGCCGCGGUAA